AGUGAACGCUGGCGGUAGGCCUAACACAUGCAAGUCGAACGGCAGCACAGUAAGAGCUUGCUCUUACGGGUGGCGAGUGGCGGACGGGUGAGGAAUACAUCGUAAUCUACUUUUUCGUGGGGGAUAACGUAGGGAAACUUACGCUAAUACCGCAUACGACCUACGGGUGAAAGCAGGGGAUCUUCGGACCUUGCGCGAUUGAAUGAGCCGAUGUCGGAUUAGCUAGUUGGCGGGGUAAAGGCCCACCAAGGCGACGAUCCGUAGCUUGUCUGAGAGGAUGAUCAGCCACACUGGAACUGAGACACGGUCCAGACUCCUACGGGAGGCAGCAGUGGGGAAUAUUGGACAAUGGGCGCAAGCCUGAUCCAGCCAUACCGCGUGGGUGAAGAAGGCCUUCGGGUUGUAAAGCCCUUUUGUUGGGAAAGAAAAGCAGCAGGUUAAUACCCCGCUGUUCUGACGGUACCCAAAGAAUAAGCACCGGCUAACUUCGUG
rnacentral:rRNA from 1 species